rnacentral:rRNA from 1 species
ACAUGCCUACAACAUAGCAUUAAUGCAUCGGAUCCCAUUAGAAUUUCACAGUUAAGCACGCUUGGGCUAGAGUAGUACUAGGAUGGGUGACCGCCUGGGAAGUCCUAGUAUUUUACAUGCC